UGGAUCCAGACUUUGAUCAUGGCUCAGGACGAACGCUGGCGGCGUGCCUAAUACAUGCAAGUCGAGCGAGCUUGCCUAGAUGAUUUUAGUGCUUGCACUAAAUGAAACUAGAUACAAGCGAGCGGCGGACGGGUGAGUAACACGUGGGUAACCUGCCCAAGAGACUGGGAUAACACCUGGAAACAGAUGCUAAUACCGGAUAACAACACUAGACGCAUGUCUAGAGUUUGAAAGAUGGUUCUGCUAUCACUCUUGGAUGGACCUGCGGUGCAUUAGCUAGUUGGUAAGGUAACGGCUUACCAAGGCAAUGAUGCAUAGCCGAGUUGAGAGACUGAUCGGCCACAUUGGGACUGAGACACGGCCCAAACUCCUACGGGAGGCAGCAGUAGGGAAUCUUCUACAAUGGACGAAAGUCUGAUGGAGCAACGCCGCGUGAGUGAAGAAGGGUUUCGGCUCGUAAAGCUCUGUUGGUAGUGAAGAAAGAUAGAGGUAGUAACUGGCCUUUAUUUGACGGUAAUUACUUAGAAAGUCACGGCUAACUACGUGCCAGCAGCCGCGGUAAUACGUAGGUGGCAAGCGUUGUCCGGAUUUAUUGGGCGUAAAGCGAGUGCAGGCGGUUCAAUAAGUCUGAUGUGAAAGCCUUCGGCUCAACCGGAGAAUUGCAUCAGAAACUGUUGAACUUGAGUGCAGAAGAGGAGAGUGGAACUCCAUGUGUAGCGGUGGAAUGCGUAGAUAUAUGGAAGAACACCAGUGGCGAAGGCGGCUCUCUGGUCUGCAACUGACGCUGAGGCUCGAAAGCAUGGGUAGCGAACAGGAUUAGAUACCCUGGUAGUCCAUGCCGUAAACGAUGAGUGCUAAGUGUUGGGAGGUUUCCGCCUCUCAGUGCUGCAGCUAACGCAUUAAGCACUCCGCCUGGGGAGUACGACCGCAAGGUUGCAACUCAAAUGAAUUGACGGA
rnacentral:rRNA from 1 species